CCAGACUCCUACGGGAGGCAGCAGUGGGGGAUAUUGCACAAUGGGGGGAACCCUGAUGCAGCGACGCCGCGUGGGUGAAGAAGCGCCUCGGCGCGUAAAGCCCUGUCAGCAGGGAAGAAAAUGACGGUACCUGAAGAAGAAGCCCCGGCUAACUACGUGCCAGCAGCCGCGGUAAUACGUAGGGGGCAAGCGUUAUCCGGAUUUACUGGGUGUAAAGGGAGCGUAGACGGUCCUGCAAGCCAGAUGUGAAAGCCCGGGGCUCAACCCCGGGACUGCAUUUGGAACUGUAAGGCUAGAGUGUCGGAGAGGCAGGCGGAAUUCCUAGUGUAGCGGUGAAAUGCAUAGAUAUCACGCAGAACUCCGAUUGCGAAGGCAGCGCACCGGCGCCCUACUGACGCUCAGGCACGAAAGCGUGGGUAUCGAACAGGAUUAGAUACCCGGGUAGC
rnacentral:rRNA from 1 species